rnacentral:tmRNA from 1 species
ACACAUUGGGGCUGAUUCUGGAUUCGACGGGAUUUGCGAAACCCAAGGUGCAUGCCGAGGGGCGGUUGGCCUCGUAAAAAGCCGCAAAAAAUAGUCGCAAACGACGAAAACUACGCUUUAGCAGCUUAAUAACCUGCUUAGAGCCCUCUCUCCCUAGCCUCCGCUCUUAGGACGGGGAUCAAGAGAGGUCAAACCCAAAAGAGAUCGCGUGGAAGCCCUGCCUGGGGUUGAAGCGUUAAAACUUAAUCAGGCUAGUUUGUUAGUGGCGUGUCCGUCCGCAGCUGGCAAGCGAAUGUAAAGACUGACUAAGCAUGUAGUACCGAGGAUGUAGGAAUUUCGGACGCGGGUUCAACUCCCGCCAGCUCCACCACUUGCUCUUCCGGAUAUGUCCGGAAAAAUCCUGAAAGCCCGCAUGGCACAAGCCCUGUGGGCUUUUUU